GAUGAACGCUGGCGGCGUGCCUAAUACAUGCAAGUCGAGCGAACAGACGAGGAGCUUGCUCCUCUGACGUUGGCGGCGGACGGGUGAGUAACACGUGGAUAACCUACAUAUAAGACUGGGAUAACGUCGGGAAACCGGAGCUAAUACCGGAUAAUAUAUUGAACCGCAUGGUUCAAUAGUGAAAGACGGUUUUGCUGUCACUUAUAGAUGGAUCCGCGCCGCAUUAGCUAGUUGGUAAGGUAACGGCUUACCAAGGCAACGAUGCGUAGCCGACCUGAGAGGAUGAUCGGCCACACUGGAACUGAGACACGGUCCAGACUCCUACGGGAGGCAGCAGUGGGGAAUCUUCCGCAAUGGGCGAAAGCUUGACGGAGCAACGCCGCGUGAGUGAUGAAGGUCUUCGGAUCGUAAAACUCUGUUAUUAGGGAAGAACAAAUGUGUAAGUAACUAUGCACGUCUUGACGGUACCUAAUCAGAAAGCCACGGCUAACUACGUG
rnacentral:rRNA from 1 species